CAAGCACGCAAUUAACAAGAAUUCAUCUGAAACAUUGUGAAACUGUUGUAACAACACACGUGCAUUUUCUUCUGUAGCACUGUUAAAAUCACGUGUCACUAUUACUGCAGUUAUUCAGUCAAGCUAAUCUUGAGGUCUUUACACAGAAACGCUACAAGUGAAUAAGCAGAAUGCCUGUAUGGAUUGUCUUUGUGCUGUGUCCUCUAUUAUCAGUGGUUCUCUGUAUAGUGAAGAAAUGCCUACUGUGACUAUCUGCAUAUGCAGAGUGGUUCAGAAAGUCAGUUACAGCAUGUUUUUCCUAUUUUAUGUUGUUCAAUUUCAUGAUACGGUAAAACUGUUUCACAUUGCACAGGACAAACCAGAAAAAUCUGAGAAAUCAGUUUUUCCUCCCACUUACUGAUUAAUCAUUAAUAGCCCCCAGGUUGAGAGCCUCUGCCCUGAACUGUACUCUUUUGUAAAAAUCAACAUUAAAAAAAAAAAUUCCCCUCCAUUAAAAUCAUGUAAGAUCUCUGAACAGGCACAAACAAGACGUGAACUAGCAAUCAAAAAAUAUAUUUUAAUAUAAACAAACUGACUUAAAGAGCUGACAGAUAUACGAGAUGUGUACAAGACGUAGAAUUAAAUUAGUUUAUAGUUCAAUUGUACACAGUAAUUUCACAUCUGCAAUGAAGAAUGGUGUAACAUGCAUUUAGAAAUGUUACAUGGACCACAGAAGUAAUCACCAUCCUUAUUUCAUUAACUUCAGAACCACUGUGACUUUUUUCUAAGGAAGAGAUGUAACACACACUUUUCAGAGAACAUGAAAGAUUUAAGAGACAAAAAACAAACUGAGAUGUGUGCUUUUUAUUCACAGAAACACUUCUUGUGUGUGGCACCAAAUAUCUCUGUAAACUGCAUUUCAAUAAAUGUGGAUUUUAAAUUAUAUAUAAUACAUCUUUGAUUGACAAACAAUAGCAUCUUAUAUUGUAUGAGCUCAAACCACAAAAAACAAAAAUCUUUGUUAGGGCAAUAAUCCAGAAGUGGAAAAGCAUCUGACUGAAACCAUAUGUGAAACUUCCAGGUCAGAAAGUGUAUGAAUAUGACAACAGUUCAGUUGUAGAGCUGGAACAUUUUUGUGAUCAAAAUAAUUCAAUACAAAGUCAGCCGAACUCUUUAACGUAAGAGUAAAUGAGUCUAAAUUAGUCUGCAGUUAACACCGGAUUUGACAAAUGUACAGUACAGUAUGUGAAACAGUUCUACUCCAGCAUCCCAUCGACUUUCUCAUCAAGCCCUGACCAAAUGAUCUCUUUAAGCUGUAGCAUAAUGUAUGAAUAUGUUUCUUAUAUAACAUGAACUUUUUGAUACUGUUAAAAUAUGCCAACUUCUUAAUAAAAAUACAGUGAGUGAGAAAUGUGAUUCACAAUCUGGAAGCUGUAAAUGCAAGUUUUAUAGUUAUCAUGUUAAAACACUGCAUGUAAAUGCAUUCUCAUGAUUUCUACCAAUAAUCAGUUUUGUGUGCGUAUAAACAGGAGUCUCAAUGCGGUUUCUGCAAUUAAAACCAGUACAUAAUAAUCAGAUUUUCUAUAUAUUCCUUUGCUGUAGUUACUGCCCUUUACUGUUUUGUAAAAGGUUAAAUUGUGCACGUGUUCUUUUACCCCUUGAAGUAUCCAUUAGGGUGGCUCACUCCAUUGCAUUAUCACUCACUCCAUUAUCAUUAAGUGCCAUCUAAAAACUUCCAAUGUGAGUACAGAAAAAAGACUUGCAUUCAAAUAUCACUGAAUUUGUGAAAUCAUCUGUUUACUUACCACUUGUUCUUUUUACAUCAUAAAUUUGAAUACACCUCUCAUUGUCUACUACGGAUUAAAAUAUUGAUAAGAUUACAUAAUUCUAGCUCUCACCAAUUGCACCGAUCUUCUUGAAAAGUACACAUUGAGAAAUUAUCUAGGAGUAAUAAUCUUGAAUUCUUGCUCCUCUUAAAUCAGUCAAAUACAGGUGUCAUUGUGCCUGUUACAAAAACAUAAGUGAGUUUCCCCCUGACACGAAAGCAAGCAAGCAAAUAACAGGUAACAUGUAAAAUGAAGAAACACAAUCAUUUAAGGAAUGUUGCAUCCUGAAUCAUUUUUUGAUCCCAACAAA